CAGAAUCACUGGGGAAAGAAGAUGCUGUUGAGCUUGACUCCAGUCUGGCACUGUAUAGAGACAUGAGUGGUGUAGAGUAAGUGGGAGGUCCUGAGGCUGCUACUGUAAUACCACUAUCCUUUUGUCCUUUUUCACUUACUCAGUGAGACAGGGGGCAAGGCCCAAGGGGCUUUUGUUUUUGACUCCAAGGCACCUAUACAUGAGCACAGAAGCUGCUCUGACAUGCUGAAAUUCCAGUGCAUUGGAGCAGAUUCAAUUAAUCGAGUCUGCUGGAGCCUGGCAAUUGCUGUGCUCCAGCAACCUCCUGCAUCUCAUAUAUCAAAAUCCCCAUGCUUAAAAAUGGCAGCAGGGACAUUUGAACUAAAGCUCAUCAAACAACCUUUAGUUCAAGCACCUCCGCCACCAUUUUUAAGAGCAGGGUUGAUGCUAAUGCAGGAGACGUGGUGAUUUAAUUAGAUCAGCUCUUGGAGCCUCUCUAACUGAAGUGCUGCCCACCCACCCCCAUGCCCCCCACAGCCCUGAGAACACAUAUAAAAGUGCCCCAAGUGCCAAGCAUGGGCAGGGUGCCACCUAUUCUGGAGACUGUGUCAGAUGGGGAGUCUGACUGAGGAGGUACAUCUGUCAAACUAUACACCAGGUGUCUUAAGGUGAGCUUCAGGGAGGACAGAAACCUCCCAUGGGGCAGAAAGGCAAAAAGGUUGCUGGAUCUUGAUUUUUCAGUAUGAGCACAGACCAUGACAGCAGGGCCUCAUGAUUCUUCUGAUUUUGAGGGUUUUAAGCAGGUGUCAGAAAAGUUACCACAGGGAUAACUGGCUUGUGGUAGCCAAGUAUUCAUAGCAGUGUCACUUUUGAUCCUUCACUGUCACCUUUUCCUGUCAUUGAAAAACAGAAUUCACCAAGUAUUGGAUUGAUUGCCCUCCCAUAUGGAACAUGAUCUGAGUUUAGUCCAUCAUGAGAAAGGUUAGUUUUACCCAACUGAUGAUGUGUUUUGCAAUAAUUAUCCUGCUCAGUACAAGAGGAACCACAGGUUCAGACAUUUGGGCUAAGGACAGAUAUUCAAAAAGCCUGAGCCUGAAUUGAUUCAAGCUUUGCAGGUUAAUCUAACCUGGCUAGCUGAAACCAGUUUGUAACCACACAGACAUCCC
rnacentral:ncRNA from 1 species